UUCAGCAGCGUUCUGCUGCUCCUUUUCUCUUUUCAGGAUCGCUGGAGCAGAGCACGAGCAGGACCUCCCGCUAGUGCUCACGGGAGAGGCUGCUGUGCAUGCGCAGAAACUCUGGGGACAGCGUACACCGCCUUGGACCUACUUGAGCAGUUUGCGCUCUCCCUCUCGCUCUCAUUUCUUUUUCUUUUUAUCUUGCAAGAGACGACAAUGUCCUCACAGUGGCGAGAAGAGUCUGGGUCACACAGAGCAAUGGGUGAGGACAAUUUAAUUAGAUCAAGACCUCAACAAAGAAGACAGUUAAUGGAUGACAGUUUGAGGUUUUGCUACAACCCUUCAAUGAAUUCAGCAGCUACAUAAAUAAAGUCUACCUGAAAAGUUUUCUGCUGAAAGGCAAUAUGAAGUGAGACAGACCAGCCUAUGAACUACAAGUUACAUUGCACAUUGAGUGAGCUUGGCCUCAAAGCAAGCAUGAUAAACAAGAAGCAGUGGACAAGAGGAGGAAACUGGGACCAUACAAGACAGCCACUGAAGAUGGAGGAACUCCAACCAGACAAGCAAGGACACACGCCAAAGUUCAAAGAAGCAGGAAGACUUGAAAUCAGUUAUGUAUAAUAUCCUGGUAUGAGACUAUGGAGUCGUUCAGAAGGUACAAAACAGUACAGAGAAGUGUCAUCAAGGUUAUCUUCCCCAAGUCCAGUCAAUAUACAUUGAUGAAGCAGAAUAACCAUAACACAAAUACUUGUUAAAAAGGAGAAAAAAAAAUACAUGAAGAAACAGCAACUCUCUUCAUUACUGGAUAAGUUAAAGAAGCCCAGUUCGUGCCAACAGCCACCCCUCAGUAGCUGACAUGACCAGGAAACCGGCUAUGCAAGACAAACGCUGCGCAAGCAAUCUGAAGCAUCGCCAUCUCUCCUCCUUCAUAUUCAAUCCAUUUCUAAAGUUUGUCAGCUUAAUUCCUAAGAUAAUGCUACUUACUUCUCUCCGUC